UUGACCUCGGAUCAGGUAGGGAUACCCGCUGAACUUAAGCAUAUCAAUACGCGGNGGAAAAGAAACCAACA
rnacentral:rRNA from 1 species